rnacentral:lncRNA from 1 species
UGACACCACCAGUUGGAUUUUGUUCCCCACGACUCCCUCUUCCAUUUCCGACCAUCCAUAGGCACCGAGAGUCACUGUUUUUCCGCCGGUCGAUUGGUGGAAUUCACGGCUGCCGAGCUAGAUUCCGGCGUCGUUGCCGCGCGUUGGAGAUCACCGCUGGUACCAUUGAACUCAGCGUGAUUGGAACUUUACGAUUUGAGCUUCCUAGCCAGUGUUGACCAAAUUCCGGUUUUUGGUAAUUUCACACUAUGAGGGCAAUUUUGUAAUUUCUGAGCCUUUGGAUAUGUUAGUAAUUCCUCGAAUUGAGGAUUGGGUGUAAUUACGAUUCCGAGGGUAAUUCAGUAAUUUACGAUUUCGGAGCAUGUUAAUGAUCUACGGACUCAAGGGCAUUUUAGUAAUUUUAUGGAUACAGGAGUUGUUAAUUAUGAAUAGAUGUUCGUUUUGAGUUUAUUGCAUAAAAUUUAGUCAUAAUUCUGAUUUACGGAAAAUAAUUAUGUCGUUUCCUUGAUUUAGGAGGAUCCGCGAGCGAGAAUCGGUCUGCAGAUAUGGACGAUAACCGACCGUGAACACCGUCACUGAGAGUGGAAUAUACAAAACUUAUUUUCAUAGUUAGCAAUGAUAGUAAAGCAUGUUUGCGAAAUAAGUAUUUUAAAUGUUCUGAUUUAAUGAUUUCUCG